AUUAAUUAUUAAUUAAUUAGUGAUUUCGCCCAUGGCCGACGCCACUCCUGUCCGCUCCGCUCCACAGGGUGAGCGCUCGGCGAGGGCGGCGGAACCUCGCCGGCGACGACCUUCGCCCAUCGCUCACCUCAUCUCAGGGUGUCGUCGGCGGCGGCGGCGGAAGGAGGCAACCCUUUCCGCGUCGUUGGUUGGUUCCCUGCGGCGAAGGAGGCCGCCUCGUUGGUUGGAUCCCCGCGGUGGAGUGAGGCAAGCCCGUCCUCGUCCUUGGUUCGAUCCCGGCGGCGGAGGGAGUCAACCCCGUCCGCCUCGUUGGUUGGUUCCCGGCUGUGGUGGGAGGCAGCCCUGUCUGCCUUGUCGGUUGCUUCCUCGUGAGACGUGCCUGCAACUGCUUCCGGUAGGAGGUGAAGGGAGGCAGCAAAGUUACCUGCAGCAGGGGAGGCCAAAUCCUCCAAGCGAGCACAUUACUCGAGGAACCUCGCCGGCGACGACUGUGCCCAUCGGCCAUCGCAUCUGAGGGGUUGUUGUUGUUGGCGGCGGCGGAGGUGGGCUACCCUGUCUGCGUCCUUUCCGGCCUCGGAGGGAGGCAACCCUGUCCGUGUCCUCGUUUGGUUCCCGCUGUUGGCGGAGGGAGGAAACCCUAUCCGCCUUGUAGGUUGCUUCCUGGUUGCGUGGCAGAGGCAGACAGCCCCAUCCUCGUCGUACGUUGCUUCCUGGUGACAGCAAAGGAGUUGAGGUGUUGGUCCCAGCAGCUGGCAAUGGGAGUGAGCCGUGUCUGCAGCUGCUUGCUGUAGGAGGUGAAAGGAUCCAUCAGAGUUACCUGGUGCAGGGUGAGAAAGGGGACGGCAAAAUCCUGCAGCUACCACCAUGUUGACCUCAAGACAGGCUGAUCGGGAGCUGAAGAAGUUUGAGGAAGCACAACGUGAAGCCGAAAGAGUAGCUUUCGUCUAAUCUUUGAAGGCAAUUUCUGCUGAGCUUCUAACAUUUUGGCUUCCCAUAGAGCCAUCGGCUGCGGAUUUUAUGCGUUUGAUCCAGUCGCAACAGGAGAGAUAUUUCAACAUUUCAUCUUUGCUCCUUUCCAUUACAAAAGAGGACGGCAAGUCUGAAACAAAGGUUCCGGUAACGCCAAAAAGCCAGGAAGAGCCCGACAAGCAAUCCUUUCACUCAAUAUCAAUAAGGUGUGAUGAUGGAGCCGUCUUGGAAAUUUUAAUACGUGAAAACGAUAACUAUGUUGUUGGUUUUCGUGUAUAUCUCAACAUCGAGGCUAGGAAUGAAACCCCGUGGAGAACCUUUGGUGUGAAGUUGCCUAGCCGAUUGUGGGUAUCUGAGCCAACAAAGUAUAAGUCUCAACAUGGGGAACUGGAAAAGGUGCAAUUUGGUCAAGGAAUUCUCUUGAAAAUUGUCAAUUUUCUUAAAGAUCUUCAACGUCAUCCUGACCAAGAAAUGACAGACUUAGGCCAGAGAUAUGUUUGCACACUCUUCCUCUUGUUUGGCGAGGCACAGAGAUUUGCCAAGGCCAGGCAGUGGGUUCUUGAUGCUGUUGACAGUCCCAUUGCGUUGACGAACCUGUAUGGAGUUGUCAAAGACAGGAAUGGAGUUGUAUGUGGCUAUGUGGGAGGAAAGGAAUUUGUUGUUCAAGUACAAAGGAAGGUUUGAGCAUCAAGCAGGCUAUGUCAAUCCCUAUGAAGAUGUUGUCAAGAUUGCAAAAGAAGCGUGUAUACGGAAGGAGCAAGAGCACCAUGCGACGAACCUGUGCUUCUGUUCAAGGCCAACUGCGGAGGUUGAUUUGUCGUUGUUGCUUGGGGGGGGGGGGGGGGGGGGGGGGGGGGGGGUGGUUGUCAUGAUGAUGAGUUCAGCUGCAAGGCAAUUAUAUGGGAAGGCGGUAAAUAUGAUGCUCCAUGGCCCGAUGAUACAAAGAUGACGUGGGAGUGAGGAUCUGAAGCCCCGUUAGAAGUUUUUGUGCACCCUGUAACUGGCUGCUCUGUUAACUAAAUAUGGGUAGUGAUAAGGAAAGGAGCGAAUUGCCUGUAGCAAGUCCUUGAGCUUUUUGUGUCGGGUGUGACUUUUGGUGCACCGUGUAACUUGUUGCUCUGAACCUGAGAUUGUUAACUGAAUAUUCAGACUCUUUACCGAAUCUUGUCUCCCUAGUUGAUUAUUUCACUGUAGCUAGUUUAGUUCCCCCAAGUUUUUGAUUUUCUUUGCUGUUCCCCAGUUUUGUUGCAUUAUGUCGUUUCUUGCUGCUGUACUCAAUCGUGGGGGUUUUGAUAAGCCACGGCGAACCCCGCUUAUCAAUUAUGAAUAUUUUCUCUUGCUGC